AGAUUGAACGCUGGCGGCGUGCCUAACACAUGCAAGUCGAGCGGUAACAGGUGUAGCAAUACAUGCUGACGAGCGGCGAACGGGUGAGUAAUGCUUUGGAAUCUUCCCAGUAGUGGGGAAUAACCAGUCGAAAGAUUGGCUAAUACCGCAUACGUCUGUAAAGGGAAAGCGGGGGCUCGUAAGACCUCGCGCUAUUGGAUGAGCCAAAGUCGGAUUAGCUAGUUGGUGGGGUAACGGCCUACCAAGGCGACAAUCCGUAGCUGGUCUGAGAGGACGACCAGCCACACCGGAACUGAGACACGGUCCGGACUCCUACGGGAGGCAGCAGUGGGGAAUAUUGGACAAUGGGGGAAACCCUGAUCCAGCGACGCCGCGUGUGUGAAGAAGGCCUGCGGGUUGUAAAGCACUUUUAGUGGGACAAAAAGCUACGGAUUAAUACUCUGUGGUCUUGAUUUAACCCAAGAAAAGCAACCGGCUAACUCUGCGCCAGCAGCCGCGGU
rnacentral:rRNA from 1 species